rnacentral:rRNA from 1 species
AUGACGGAGGCGGCGACAUUUCAAAUGCCUACUGCUCUUAGACGGUUGUUUGCGACUAUAUUGGUAUUCUGUGAGGCAACACAAAUCCGUCAGUUAUGGGACAAACAUCUAGCAUCCAUGUCUGAAGAUUAUCGCCGUACUCAAUCGAAUGAGGCAGCACUUGAGCAAAUGGUCCUUAGGGAUAUCAGGGAUUUGCUGCAAUCCAUGGGAAAGGAUAUUAAACUCUAUGGACUUCCGGAUCUGGUUGACGCAGAUGGUUCUUCUAACAUUGACAAUACAGAGGUAACAGAGGAGAGAUAG